CACCACUGUUUAGUUCCAUCGGCUUCCUCGAUUUCAAAGUAUCUGUAGUUGAAGUGCAUGGUGGGAACAUGAGGAUUCUUUGGAUGGAUAACGGAGCUUACGCCCAUGGCACAGAAAGGCAGCUUUCCAUCCUCGGUGGCCUUCAGGGCCUUCCCCCUACUCCUCAUCUGCCGCGCCGCCUCCUCGGACAGCUGCCCGAACACCACCGACACGUUCACGCCCGCCUUCUCGAAGACCUCUCCGUCCUGCAGCACGCAGCUGAUGCCGCCUCCGCCUGCCAACGCCGCACCGGGUCACCGAGGGCCGGGAGCCCCCCGCGCCCCGCCGCCCCCGGCCGCCCCGCCCCCCGCACCUUCCUUCCUCUCCCAGCAGAGGAUGCUGUGAAGCUGCUGAAGCUCUGCAAGUAAGAAGGAAAAGAGACCUUUGGGUUCGACUCUUUUCUGCCCCCAGCUGUGGAGGACGGGAUCCUUUCAAGAUUCCAGGAUGAACCAGGAGACCUGAACCUCUAGCAGCAGGAGUGAAGGAAGUGUCCUUUGCAGUAGAGAUCUGAGGCUGAGAGAGGACAUGGGCUGUGUGAGACUGGCACUACUCAGAGUAGCCAGAAUCUCUACUAGUGCAAGCCAGUGUGAUUCUAGAGAAGGCUGAAGUGACUACAGUGACGUCAGGAGUGAAAGAGAGUCGUAACUACAUGUUUGUAAAUGCAGGGUUGAUUCUCCUGGGCAUACAAAGGAGGGAAAGGGAAACUACAGAACAGAAAACUGCUGUGUUGAAGUUGCUUUAGUCUACCUGCAAGAAGGGCAGUUUGGUCACGGAGGAUUACGACAAUAUUAUAGACUGUAUAACCCUGGGCUUCAUGAAGCAUGGAUUGUGGGGAGAGUUAUAUUGAUCAAAAUGGAAAGAACACUGGAAAGAAUAACAAUAGAUUGGAACAAUUGUGCAGAGACAAAUAUCCUUCUCAGUCACUGGCUUUGUAAUCAGCUUGUUUCAGAAAGCUGAUGAAGAGUGUCCACCAGCCCAAGUACCAGUAAAUUAUCUGGGGAAUACAGGUCUGGCAGCCUGACCUCAGUGCCAGGUAAGAUUAAGGAAUAGAUCAUCUUGAGGGAGAUCAUGUGGCAUGUGCAGGACAACUGGGGCAUCAGGCCUAGCCAGCAUGUGUUUAUCAAAGGCAGGUCCUGCUUGACCAACCCGAUCUCAUUCCAUGAUCGAGUUACCCGCCUGGUAGAUGAGGGAAGGGCUGUUGACAUAGUCUACCUGGACUUCAGCAAAGCCUUUGAACUGUGUCCCACAUUUCAAAGAGAAGCUGGCACUCCAUGGCUUGGACAGGUACACUCUCUGCUGUGUAAAGAACUGGAUGUAUGUCUGGGCCCAGAGUGGUGGUGGAUGGAGUUAAAUCCAGCUAGUGACUGGUUAUGAGUGGUGUUUCCCAGGGUCGGUAUUGGGGCCUGUCCUCUUCCAUAUUUUUAUUGAUGAUCAGGAUGAGGGCACUGAGUGACCCUCAGUAAGUUUGCAGUUGACACCACGUUGGCUGGAAGUGUUGAUUGCCUGGGGGUAAGAGGGCCCUACAGAGCAGUCUGGACAUGCUGGAUAGCUGGGCUGAGGCCAAUGUGAUGAGGUUCAACAAGACCAAAUGUCGGGUCCUGCACUUUGGCCACAACAACCCCAGGCAAUGCUGUAGGCUUGGGGCAGAAAGGCUGGAAGACUGUGUAGGGAAAAUGGAUCUGGGGUUGUUGGUCAACGCUCAGCUGAACAUGAGACAGAAGUAUGCCUAAGUGGCCAAGGUGACCAAUGGCAUCCUGGCUUGUAUCAGAAAUAGUGAUGCCAGCAGGAGCAAAGAAAUGAUCACUGCUCUGUGUUCACCACUGGUGAGGCUGCACCUCAAGUACCAUGUUCAGUUUUGGGCCCCUCACUACAGAAAAGAUGUUGAAGCCACAGAUUUUGUCCAGAGAAGGGUACUGAAGCUGGUGAGGAGUCUGGAGCACAAGUCAUAUGGGAAUGGCUGAGGGAACUGGGAUUAUUUAGUCUGGAGAAGAGGAGGCUCAGGGAAGACCUUACCAUUCUCUACAACUACCUGAAGGAAGGUUGUGGUGAGGUGGGGGUUGGCCUUUUCUCUGAUGUAACUAGUGACAAGAUUAGAAGGAGUGGCCUCAAAUUGCACCAGAGGAGAUUCAGGUUGAAUGCUAGGAAAUAAUUCUUUUCAGAGAGAGUGGUCAGGUGCUGGAAUGGGCUGCCCAGGGAGGUGGUAGAAUCGUUGUCCCUGGCGUUGUUCAAGAAACAUUUAGACGUUGUACUGAGGGACAUGGCUUGGUGGGAAAUAUUGGUGACAGGUGGACAGCUG
rnacentral:lncRNA from 1 species